ACUCAAAGGAAUUGACGGGGACCCGCACAAGCGGUGGAGCAUGUGGUUUAAUUCGAAGCAACGCGAAGAACCUUACCAAAUCUUGACAUCCCAAUGACAGAGUAUGUAAUGUACUUUUCUUCGGACAUUGGAGACAGGUGGUGCAUGGUUGUCGUCAGCUCGUGUCGUGAGAUGUUGGGUUAAGUCCCGCAACGAGCGCAACCCUUGUCUUUAGUAGCCAGCACGUAAAGGUGGGAACUCUAGAGAGACUGCCGGGGAUAACCCGGAGGAAGGUGGGGAUGACGUCAAAUCAUCAUGCCCCUUAUGAUUUGGGCUACACACGUGCUACAAUGGCGUAAACAAAGAGAGGCGAAAUAGUGAUAUGGAGCAAAUCUCAAAAAUAACGUCUCAGUUCGGAUUGUAGUCUGCAACUCGACUACAUGAAGCUGGAAUCGCUAGUAAUCGUGAAUCAGAAUGUCACGGUGAAUACGUUCCCGGGUCUUGUACACACCGCCCGU
rnacentral:rRNA from 1 species